CUGGUGGCCCGGUGUCGGGCCGCUCCGGACGAGUGGUGGGCGUACCCGGUCAGGCCAAGACGCCCCGCG
rnacentral:ncRNA from 1 species